CCUACGGGUGGCAGCAGUGGGGAAUAUUGCGCAAUGGGCGAAAGCCUGACGCAGCGACGCCGCGUGAGGGAUGAAGGUCUUCGGAUCGUAAACCUCUGUCAGCAGGGAAGAACGGUCACUGUGCUAAUCAGCAGUGAAUUGACGGUACCUGCAAAGGAAGCACCGGCUAACUCCGUGCCAGCAGCCGCGGUAAUACGGAGGGUGCGAGCGUUAAUCGGAAUUACUGGGCGUAAAGCGCUCGUAGGCGGUAUGUCAAGUCAAGGGUGAAAUCCCCGCGCUCAACGUGGGAACUGCCUUUGAAACUGGCAAACUGGAGUGUGUGAGAGGAUAGUGGAAUUCCAAGUGUAGCAGUGAAAUGCGUAGAUAUUUGGAAGAACACCGAUGGCGAAGGCAGCCCCCUGGGACGCAACUGACGCUCAUACACGAAAGCGUGGGGAGCAAACAGGAUUAGAUACCCCUGUAGUC
rnacentral:rRNA from 1 species